UACGAAGGGAGCUAGCGUUGUUCGGAAUCACUGGGCGUAAAGGGUGCGUAGGCGGGUCUUUAAGUCAGGGGUGAAAUCCUGGAGCUCAACUCCAGAACUGCCUUUGAUACUGAAGAUCUUGAGUUCGGGAGAGGUGAGUGGAACUGCGAGUGUAGAGGUGAAAUUCGUAGAUAUUCGGAAGAACACCGGUGGCGAAGGCGGCUCGCUGGGCAGUGGCUGACGCUGAGGCGCGACAGCGUGGGGAGCAAACAGG
rnacentral:rRNA from 1 species